rnacentral:rRNA from 1 species
UAAAGAAGGGGUUUAGAACGUUUUGGAUUGGGAGGUUGGGCUGGUGCGGCGGCGCAGGUUGGUCUGGUGCGGCGGCGGUGGUGGAGGUGGUCGGUGAGGUGGAGUCGCAUCCGAAGGCGGGGCUCGUGUCAGCGGCGGCUGGCGGAUCAGCAGCGGCUCGUGGGAGGAUGUGGCUGCUUAGGGAACCGGCGAAGGAGGGGUAGGGGACGACGUGGAUCGCGGACGAAGGAGGGCUCCUUUCAGCGGCUAGCGGGAGGUAGGGGUGGUGUUGUCGGUGGAGGAGGCGUCCAAAGGAGGCGGCUCGUCCGGAGGAGGAGGAGUUCGAAAGAGGGGGUUCGUCCCGGAGGAGGAGGUGCUCGUAGGGAGGGGCUCGUGAUUCAACCCGACGGAGUACAAAGGGAGUGGACUCGUCCCGGGGAGAGGGCUCUUCGAGGUGGAGGACAUGUAGGAGGGGGUCCACGUCGCGGCGGAGGAACGGGUGGCUCUCGUGAACCGGCCACUCUAAAGUAAGAAACAUUUGAAAACAAGGGAAAAAGAAGACUGGUCAUUGAUCUUGUUGAAGUCUUUCACAAAACUCAAAUAUACUGUCAUGUAAACACUUUUAUUGCCGAUCGGGGUUCAAAAAGAAUACCACUCCUCUAGAAGGUAACGUCGUUUAACAGCGAUGUUGACGUAUGAUUUAGUCACUUAGGGUCAUCCUCAUGAUGUACGUUCGAGACCCUUCUAUUCAAAUUUCCGGCACGACGUUUAUAUCGAUCUCUUGAAGAAAGACAUAUAAAACCACGUUUACAUCUGACUUUCACCUCAUGGUGAAGAUCUCAAUUUGUUAAAAUUGAUCACUUACACAAUCAAGAUACUGGGGCGUUUUUUCUUACACAAUCAAGAUACUUAUAUCUAUAUACCCCAAACUAGACCUUAAAAGAAGAUAUUAAAAGAUAAAGAUCAAACGGUGACGAGGGUCAGUAGGCUAAGACCUUAAAAUACUAGUUAUCAACAGAUAGUAUCAUCUUUAGGGAAGUUCACAACGUUGGAAAUAAUAACUUAACUUUUUGUAAACGAACUAUUAAAUAAAAAAGAUCUCAUUUUACUAUCGUUAAACCAAAACAUGACAGUGGUGAUGACCUUUAUCGUACCGUAGUACUGAAUAAUUUAAUGUUCUAGGGGAUAACAAUUUUGAAGAAAAUAAAUCGAAUUGUGAAUUCUUGUUUAUGUAGGUAUCGAUACAAGUAUCUCUACCAUGUGUCGAAUUCUACACGUACACCAAGUCUAAAACCUUUUCCCAGAUGACCGUCACGGUACAUGUUCAUUAUAUUGGGAUCGUCAUGUCAUGGAACAGUACGUCCCGGUGCUCAUUAUAUUCUGACGACAAAACAACGACUAUUAAUCUUGCAAACCUACGAACAACAAAUCCAACACGCAGAUCCAAACCAUCAUCACGACCACACACACCGAAUCAGAGACUACAAAAGUCAUUACCUUUAACCCUCGAUACGAGGAUUCAUCUUUUUAACCUUCUUAAUCCUGUACUCCGAUCGACUCAUGGUACGAGAAAAGAGGAUAUACAUUAAGAAUGUUUGACAAGGGAUUAAAAGUAAACUACGAAAGUGACUUUAUAAAAAAACCUAACAAACAGAACACUCGUCGCAUGUAGAAGAAACAGGAGAGGUUCGUCACAGUUGAUGAGGUAUGUUCGUGUAUUCGAAUACGAGAAUACUAAUAUAUAAAUGAAAACCUAUGUACAAACGACGAUAAAGUCUUGUAACUUUGAAUAAAUCGUAAAGCAAAGAAUAUACGAAGUACGUUUACUUUGACGUCAUUUGUAUACUUGACUCUAAAACGAACGGUAGACAUAUGUACGGGACUUAAACUAAUCAGAAAAAUACGUAUGUUGAUGACCUUCGAAAAUGUACAGGACCUUGACUCGAAAAUGUACGGGACACAUAAGACUUCUAAUCAGAAAACAAUAACCCGUCAUGAACUUUGUCUCAGCAACCAGAGGACUGUAUAUUGGUAAAUACUUCUCGUAUCCACUACGGAAGAGAACAUAAGGAUACGUAUCAGGUCAUGAAAAAAUACACAUUUUUCACCGACUGGAUCGUAUCACCGUAAUGUGAAAAAACAUAAAACAUGUGUAGUCCUUGGAACGAUAUCUAUGUGUGACUUUCAACUUUUACUACGAUCGUCUUUAACCACAAGACAGUCGAUGCGUAGACAAAAUUUUGUACUAUACUGAUGAACGAAACCUUAUGAAUAGACUAGGAUAGAGUACAUAUAAAAUCAAUAAAGAUCUGUUUAGAAAUCCUUGGUUCAAGUAAAUGUUGAGUUUCAGAACACGUACCUCCUCUUAACUCUAUGAACGAGUAAGACAUGAACAGUUUUGCAUACACAUCUAUAAGACGAGUAAGACCAACUACGAUGAUGAACUAAUUACAGAAGAAAUGCUCGAAGAUGGAACACAUUUAUUGUACUAAUAAACCGUCGGACCAAAGUAUAGAAACUUAGAAUACACUUAUUUGAUACAGGUUCACAAAAGACAAGAAACGAAUUGAUCUAUAGUUUCAUAUUUGUUGUUCGAGUACAUGUUCUACCGUUAAUACCACCAAUAAAUCAAAUAAAGUAACUAAGAGCUGUAUAAUUAACUAAGAUCUCAGGAUCGAAAUACGUUCCUCUACAUUUUCUUCGUUGUUCAUUAAAGGGAAGAGGAAAGAAAAUGUUAACAGUACUAAAAUAUACUGGAAAAAAUCAAUUUUGGACAACAGCAACCAGACUUAUAAAACUAGUAAUUUUAAACACUACUUAAGAAUUUAACUAAUCCUUCUGACCUACACAUUUUGAAACAAAUACAGCGACCCACGUCCAGAAAAUAUAGGAAGGUUAUGGAACUUGAUUGAUAAAAGAGACGCCAAUGUAUAUACGUGUAGAAUACGAGUAAACGUCCCGAAGUCGUUUCAAACCGGCUGGAAAACCACCGAUUAUAAAUCUUCGAUAUAAAUUAGGUUUCGAAAAGAAAUUGUCUCGUUAAGUCGACCAAGGACAGUUUGAAAAGAUAGUUGAUACACGGGUAUAGGAGACCGUGCGUUUUAGGGGGGAGUUCUCCGCUCGGUAAUCACAAACUACAACCGUAGUAGCAACCUUCUAGAAGACGUGAUAGAUGUGCUACAAAGAAGAUGUACUAUCGUGAAGUGCAGAUGUACUACAAAGAAGAUGUACUAUCGUGAACUUCUGAUGUACUGCAAAGAACAUAAGCGUCGAGUUUGGUAAACACAUCGAAUCAAACUUGUUUUCCAGAAUAACAGAACGUACAUUUGAGAUAAAUCAUUACAUCGAUCUACGAUGACUUGCGUACAUGUUUACAGUUUUAUGAUUUCACAAACAGUAAUGCACAAACUCUAGACGAUAACUUAGAACUCACUUAAGGAGAUACUUGUCUUUAGUUUU